rnacentral:rRNA from 1 species
GACGAACGCUAGCGGCAGGCCUAAUACAUGCAAGUCGAACGGGAUUAAGGAGCUUGCUUCUUAUGAGAGUGGCGCACGGGUGCGUAACACGUAUGCAACCUACCUUCAACUGGGGGAUAGCCUUCCGAAAGGGAGAUUAAUACCGCAUAACAUAAUUGAGUGGCAUCACUUGAUUAUCAAACGUCAGGGUUGAAGAUGGGCAUGCGUCCGAUUAGUUAGUUGGUGAGGUAACGGCUCACCAAGGCUACGAUCGGUAGGGGAUCUGAGAGGAUGGCCCCCCACACUGGUACUGAGACACGGACCAGACUCCUACGGGAGGCAGCAGUAAGGAAUAUUGGGCAAUGGACGGAAGUCUGAACCAGCCAUGCCGCGUGCAGGAAGACGGUCCUCUGGAUUGUAAACUGCUUUUGUUAGGGAAGAAACUCCUGUACGUGUACGGGACUGACGGUACCUAAAGAAUAAGGAUCGGCUAACUCCGUGCCAGCAGCCGCCGUAAUAC